ACUCAGUGGUGGCUGUUACUAUGAAGGUGUCAGAGCAGAGCUUCUAACCUGCCACCCCCCCCAGUCUCGGGAGCUUUUUAAUGAAGACUGUGGACGUCUAUAACCAUUUUGUGGGGUGGAUUAUGUGGAUCUCUUAAGAAGGGACCACCACUUAAGUCAGGAGCCAUUGGAUGGGAUAGACCUGACCUGACUAGGGGCACCAGCCGGACCCUCCAGCAGAGCAUCCUCUUCCUGGUCAACACUUGAACUUGUCAGAGCCUGCACCAGUUGGAGCUGACCCCUCCCCAUAUUGAUCAUUGUGCUUUAAAGAAAAACAAAAUAAAUAAAUGAAUCAAAAACUUCA